ensembl:snRNA U6 U6 spliceosomal RNA
UAGCUUCAGUAGCUCAUGUGCUAAAAUUAGAACAAAACAGAGAAAAUUACCAUCAGUCCUGCAUAAGAAUAAAAUGUAAAUUUGUGGAGCAUUCCGUAUUUUG